CUGCCCCCGUCCGGUUUUUUCCCCUCGCCGGUUCCUCUCGUCCGCACAGUUUUUUUCCUCCCCCAGACCCAGCUCGUAAUAGAUCGUGGGACAAUUCGGUUUUCAAUUUCUCGCGACUCCACCGUCGCGGCGUCCGUUGCGAGCUCCACGAGGUUGCUCCGCUCUCGCCGCCGCCGCCGCCCCAGGGUCCGUUCCGCCGCCGCCGCCGUCGAUAGCCGGUCGGAGUCCUGCGACCCGACCCACCUAACGUGCGGGAACUCAUCCAUUGGCUCAAGUUCCUGUUUCGAAAAAAAGAAAGAAUCAGCAGAUCCGCUCCAAGGUCCGUGUGAUGAGGCACUGAAUUGGGUCGGAGGUCACAGAUCCCAACCGGAUCAAGCUGUAGAUUGAAGACCAGCUGCUACUCCAGCGAGAUCUCCCAGCAGCUCAGAGAAAGAAGCUAGCGGCGGACCCUGUCCUCCUCUCGACGGCUGCGCCAGGCAGACAAGGACGCAGACUACGGGCGUAGGACGCAGACUACGGGCGUGGUAGGGACGACGAUCUGGGCGGAUCAGGUAUGGCACGGCAGCCUCUUUGGUCCAACUCCAUGCGAUGCGCGGCAGGAGCAAGCCCAGGCAUUGGUCCCCAGCAUCCCAGGCAUGGCUCAUCCGCCUCCAUGAACAGACAUCCAGGUUAGUCCCAUGAGGUGACUGUUGACACCAUCGUUUUAUUUCAUUUUUGUGUAUGAAUUUUUGACUGCUGAACUUGGUGAUGCUGACCAUGGUGUUCCUCUGCAACGACACUGGCAUCACCUGUGACCAUGCUGGCUGCAUGAGAUUUUCGAGCUCUGGGAUGGCAAGUUCAAGCUGCCGAGCGACCGUCAUGUUGCAUGUGGAGCUAGCCUUGUGCCGCGUCGCUCUAGUGCUGCCCUAUAUAUAUGAUUUUUCACUUGUAGAAUUUGCUGAUUAGUAUUUAUAUGGAAUUUUAUUUUCUCCCUUUAUUUGCUAAAGUUUCAUAUUGUGUGUACCUAUUUAAGAUUUGGAUCAAUAGCUAAUAUUGAAAAGAUUGGCCCAAUACGAUAAUGAUUAGAGGAGAAUAAA